rnacentral:lncRNA from 1 species
AUCAAUUCUUGCUUGUUUAGUAGCAGACACAGUCUCAUCCUGAUUUGAGUAGAAAACUGUGGAGUUAUCCAUAGCCUGGUGCAUGAUCUGUAAGUGGAGCACAUCACAGUACCUCUGCUUUCUUCAAAGAUUUACUCAGAAAGUUAAAAAUGAAGAUUUGAGAUAUUCUGCAGUGAAAGGGGAAAACUUGGUGACUUGAAUCCCGCUUUUAUUCCCAGAUUUCAUUUAUCUUUAUUUCUCAUUUCACUUGAGCAGUCUGAACACCAGAGCUGUCCCUCCUUAGGGCAGUGCCUGAAACACGAGGCUGCUCCACAGGGGAGAGUGGUGAAGCAUCAAAGCCUUUCCAUGCAGUGAAACAGAGCGCAGCAGCCCUUAAUUCUGCAUUCCCAAUCCCUGCUGGAACUUGAAGCACAGGACCUACGGACAGAAACAGCUUUGGAGGACAGAGCUGGCAGGAACAAGGAGCAGGAGGCAGAGAAUAUUCCAGGUAAUUCAGAAUUUCCCUUCCGUACAUCCCCAUUCUCUGCACGUGCGUUUUGCCAGCGUUCAGCCAGGAAGGAUCAAGGCUGCUUCCCUGCUACUGCAAGGAACUUUUCCAUGUGCCCACAAGGUCAUGGACACUCUGGAACAGCUGCCCAGAAGCAAAAACCCUGCCCUCCAGCAAGUUCCUUGCCUGGAUUGAUUUUGCAAGGAAUGGUUUCUGGUACCUCUGUGUCACAUCAGCUUGGAAGCCAACCCUGUAUUUGCCCUGAUGGAUCUGUUCAUGCCUAAAGCUGCAACUCAGGAUAUCCUCCAGCCUACAGCUGUCAGAAGAGCUCUUCACAGAGCCACACCACAGCCCUGAGCAGGCACAUCCCACUCACAUGAUGGCCCUGAAAUCCCAUCAGGAGCAGCUCCAUGUGCUGACGUAACCACGGGGAAAGCGAUGUCCUUCACACGUGUAAGAGAUCCCAGAAACCAGCAAGGAUGUGGGAUGAAAGGACAAGAGGGGAAUAAAAGAGCUCUUUGAAUAGACA